rnacentral:rRNA from 1 species
UUAGAGUUUGAUCCUGGCUCAGGACGAACGCUGGCGGCGUGCCUAAUACAUGCAAGUCGAGCGAGCGGAACUAACAGAUUUACUUCGGUAAUGACGUUAGGAAAGCGAGCGGCGGAUGGGUGAGUAACACGUGGGGAACCUGCCCCAUAGUCUGGGAUACCACUUGGAAACAGGUGCUAAUACCGGAUAAGAAAGCAGAUCGCAUGAUCAGCUUUUAAAAGGCGGCGUAAGCUGUCGCUAUGGGAUGGCCCCGCGGUGCAUUAGCUAGUUGGUAAGGUAAAGGCUUACCAAGGCGAUGAUGCAUAGCCGAGUUGAGAGACUGAUCGGCCACAUUGGGACUGAGACACGGCCCAAACUCCUACGGGAGGCAGCAGUAGGGAAUCUUCCACAAUGGACGCAAGUCUGAUGGAGCAACGCCGCGUGAGUGAAGAAGGUUUUCGGAUCGUAAAGCUCUGUUGUUGGUGAAGAAGGAUAGAGGUAGUAACUGGCCUUUAUUUGACGGUAAUCAACCAGAAGGUCACGGCUAACUACGUGCCAGCAGCCGCGGUAAUACGUAGGUGGCAAGCGUUGUCCGGAUUUAUUUGGCGUAAAGCGAGCGCAGGCGGAAGAAUAAGUCUGAUGUGAAAGCCCUCGGCUUAACCGAGGAACUGCAUCGGAAACUGUUUUUCUUGAGUGCAGAAGAGGAGAGUGGAACUCCAUGUGUAGCGGUGGAAUGCGUAGAUAUAUGGAAGAACACCAGUGGCGAAGGCGGCUCUCUGGUCUGCAACUGACGCUGAGGCUCGAAAGCAUGGGUAGCGAACAGGAUUAGAUACCCUGGUAGUCCAUGCCGUAAACGAUGAGUGCUAAGUGUUGGGAGGUUUCCGCCUCUCAGUGCUGCAGCUAACGCAUUAAGCACUCCGCCUGGGGAGUACGACCGCAAGGUUGAAACUCAAAGGAAUUGACGGGGGCCCGCACAAGCGGUGGAGCAUGUGGUUUAAUUCGAAGCAACGCGAAGAACCUUACCAGGUCUUGACAUCUAGUGCCAUUUGUAGAGAUACAAAGUUCCCUUCGGGGACGCUAAGACAGGUGGUGCAUGGCUGUCGUCAGCUCGUGUCGUGAGAUGUUGGGUUAAGACCCGCAACGAGCGCAACCCUUGUUAUUAGUUGCCAGCAUUAAGUUGGGCACUCUAAUGAGACUGCCGGUGACAAACCGGAGGAAGGUGGGGAUGACGUCAAGUCAUCAUGCCCCUUAUGACUUGGGCUACACACGUGCUACAAUGGGCAGUACAACGAGAAGCGAGCCUGCGAAGGCAAGCGAAUCUCUGAAAGCUGUUCUCAGUUCGGACUGCAGUCUGCAACUCGACUGCACGAAGCUGGAAUCGCUAGUAAUCGCGGAUCAGCACGCCGCGGUGAAUACGUUCCCGGGCCUUGUACACACCGCCCGUCACACCAUAGGAGUCUGCAAUGCCCAAAGCCGGUGGCCUAACCUUCGGGAAGGAGCCGUCUAAGGCAGGGCAGAUGACUGGGGUGAA